GGCACUCUAUGCUAAACUAAAGGGUGGUGCCCUACCUGAGAGGAACAGUGGGUUCUAGCUGGUUUCACCUGAUGCAGGACAUGUAGGAAUGUGGGGCCCAGCCAACUGUAGGUGCUUCUGGAAGGGCUGCAGAGACACUCUGUCUUUGUGAAGUGGCCAGGUUUUCAAGUAUGGACGCUAAUUCUAUUAAAGUAUAUUAUUAUGCUGAUGAAACAGUCUAUUUGUGGAUGAGUUUGACUUAUGCAUAUCCAAGCUUGCAACUUUUUAUUCUGGUCCAAACUCAGAUUUUACAGAUACAAAACAAAACAAAACAAAACAAAACCGAGAUCCAGAGAGACAGAGCUUCUGGUCCAAGGUCAGGAAGUCAGUGAAGGAGAAUUCCUUCCUCAGGCCCCUGACUAGGCAUUGUCUCUGCUGGCUGUGUUGGCCAGGGGAGCAUAGACAUGAAAUGUUCAGUGACAUAAUGUCCCCUGCCCCAUUCCUGCUUCUCUGCUUUGGUGAGUUGAUUGGAGACGGUUAGGGAUGCUGAGAAGGGCCCUGAAGAUAGAAAGAAUGCUUAGGGAGAGGUGGGAAUGGGGAAGAGCUGGCUUGAAGCUCCCAAGGAUAUAAUUUAUCUGCACGCCCCACUCCUCCCUCCUCUUCUCAUGACAAGCUUCCAUGUCGUGACACUCAGGAACACACUUUGGGAUCACCCUUGAUCGUCUCUACCCUUCCCCUGGAAUUCCUCACUUCUGAACCCCCUUUCUAGCCCUGCUGCCAUGUUCUCUGUUCACGAGUUUCAGGACACAACAAUGAGACAAUUGCAGUAGGCUUCAAGCCUGACUCCUCUGUCUGCUUUCUUCAUUGUUGUCUGAUUGAUCUUUGUAAGUACAAGUUUGGGUCUCGGCAUGUUCUCAUUAUGUGUGGUAGCAGUGCUUUAACCUAGCGUCCUAGAUUCUCAAGUGCUGUGGUGUGGCUGCCCUGUUCAUCAGCCUGGCUGCUUGGGCACCCAGCGCUACCAGGUGGAGGCUUGUGAUAUCUGGGGUAGUUUCCCUGACUUCGCUGAGCUUUUUAACUACUUUGGGAAGCUUUUACAUAGGAUUGUUUUGAGGAACAAAUGUGAUUAUCUGUGUAAAUCACUUGGCAUGGCACACACAGUCACUCAACUAAAAGAGCAAUUCAGGGACCUUGUAGCUAUGACCACCAUCAUUACCUAUCCCAUACGUCAACCUCUUGCACAUAUCUAUUGGUAAUUUCUGGUUUUCUGUUCUCUAAUAUACACAUUUGUUGUUGUUGCUGUUGUUUUGAGACUGAGUCUCAAACUAACCAACUUCAAAUUCUAGGUCUCUGCAUUUGACCUUGAACUCCUGGUCCCCUUGGUUCUCCUUUCCAAAUCCUGGGAUUACACAUAUGUAACCACCAAGCCCAACUUUGCUCUUGGGCAUACUUUGAUGCAUGGUUGUUUGUGUUCUUGCCUUCAUUUUCUUUCUCAGUUUGAGCUCUCUGAGAACGGGAUGCAGGUUUGACCUCCCCUGUGCCACCCCGAGCUCUAUAGACACUUGGGAAAUGCUUGUCAAAUGGAUGUUGCUCUUGGCGGAAUGGUACCAUAUUGAUGAUUUAUUGAUAACGCCUCUCUAUAAGAGAGAGUCUCACUGGAGCUGGAGAGAGGACUCAGAGUUUAAGAGCACUAUUCUUCUAGAGGACCUGGAUUUGAUCCCUACUUUCACAUGGUGACUUACAACUGUAAUUCCAGUUACAGAGGCUCUGAUGUCCCAUCUGCUCUGGCUUCUGUGGGUACUAAGCAUGCACACAGUACACAGACAUACAGGCAGACAAAAUGCUUAUACACAUAAAAAAUAGUUUCAUGAAUAUGGGGGACUAUUGUAUUUGGGGACGCAGUUCAGGCCUUUGGAUGCUGCAUUGUAAGAGGGAAAUGAAGUGUUUGUGGUAGAGUGGUGUUAGUUAGGGCAGAUGCAGAAGUGUGACACGGGAGGUACAGAGUGUAUGCCUGACACUUUGCGGAGGAACUGAACAUGCUCUUAAUAGCUCAAGGGCUCCUGGCAGAAGGACUGUUUGACCUGAGACUAGAACAGUCAAUAGCACCUUGACUCAAGACCAUGAUUAACCAUGAUGUAACUGCUUUAAAUGCUGGUUCAACAAAUAUUAUUUAUUUCUGUCCACUUACAAGCCCUAUUCAAAAUACUUCACGAAUACCAGAUUUGUCUGUCUCUGGUUGCCACUUGGACUAGGACUGUUGAUUGUAUGCAGAGUUUAAAUGACAUCACAGCAGAGAGCCAAGGCUAGAGUGGGGUAAAGCAGGGGCUUUAUUCCUUUCUUUGGGGCUGGGGUAGGGAAGAAUUCUCGUGUGCUUAGAAAAUGGUAAUGAUGUACUUUCAUGCUAUCCGGGUGAGGUCCACUGUUUUUGUAUGUUUCCUGCUUAUUUUGUAGCUUCAGCUGUGGAGAUGCUGGGCAUGGGAGCUGGAAGCAGGAAAUGGCCAGAAUGCUUCUCUGACCAUCCUGAAGGUUCUUUUCUUUGGGUCUGGCUGAAAGAUUAUGGUAAUGGAUGUGAUGUGCAGCUGCAGAGGAAGCAAGGAUUUUUUUUUUUUAAAUCAAGAGGAAUUCAGAGAUCAAGAAGAACAUGCAAAACCUAGGCGUGAUGGUGUGUGCUGUAAUCCUGGCACUUGGAAGGCUGAGGCAGGAUAUUCUCCAGAGUCUGAGACCAGCCUGGUUAUAGAGUAAAUUCUAGGUCAACCUAGGCUUACAAAGACUG
rnacentral:lncRNA from 1 species